GUGAAUCAUCAAAUUUUUGAACGCAAAUUGCACUCUCUUCGGAGAGUAUGCCUGUUUGAGGGUCAGCCUAAAAAAAAAUCGACAUAGUCGCUUGUUCUCGGUGACCUUCGUCGGGAAUUGGGUCAUCUUAAACCUUUGGGAUUUAAGCGGCUUAAAAUUUUCUUUACGAUUCCACGAACGUUUCUAAGAUUUACUUCUUUUACGUUUAAUGUAUCGAGCUUUAUUAGACGUUUCCGUUUCAUCGGAGCUCGGCCAUAA
rnacentral:misc_RNA from 1 species